UAAUCAUUAUAUAAAGGAACCUCUUUGAUCAUUAAUAAUAACACAGAAAUAUUCAGUCUCUAAACUCUCUAUUUACAACACGUUAUCAGCACGAUAGACUCCAAAACCCUGAGACAAAACCUAACCUAAAAUCCGUCACACAUAAACCCUAAAUCAUGCGCAACUUAAGAUCAAUCUAUCUCUCAAACCCUGAGGAACCAGACGACGCUCCACAUAUCAAAUUGAAGCUCUUGACGAGACGAAUCCAUCAGCGCAAACCGUUCGUCGAUC
rnacentral:lncRNA from 1 species